rnacentral:rRNA from 1 species
GGUUGACCUCGGAUCGGGUA